GCGGGUAACAAAGUUCUGGCCAAAAAUGUAAACAGAAGUGAUAUACAAAACCCAAUUCUCUCCAUCUCUUUCUUUCUUUCCCCUACAGGCUGGAACUUGGACAUUAUGGGUGAGCCAGCUGUGAUCAAAUGGGUGGUGAAAAUGCAGCAAUACAGACAAGGAACCUUGUCCUUGAAUAGCUUCAUGAAGGAGAUUGGCUUACCCACUCUGGACUACAAGUUUUUCUUGAAUUUGGGAUGUCUUACACAGAAGUUUAUCCAGAAUCCUGCCUAAUACAGAGCCUAAACUAAGAUAGCUGUAUUUGGCAAGAAAAAAAGAUGAAUCAUUUUAGAGUUUUAUAGGAAAUCAAAAUAAUAAGCCUAGGUGACUGAUGGUCUCUGUCAAGAACGGAAGAUGAGGUAAUGGAAAUGACCCUGAGGAUUUUAACUUAGAGAAUGGGAACGAGGGUAAUGCCAUUAAUCAAGUGAGAAAGACGUUUCUAUCAGGCAGGAGGAGUGGAAAGAUGAGUUAUGUUAUGAAUAUGCUAAAGUGGAGCUGCUCUGUGACGUCAAGGUGAAGAUUUCCAAUGAAUUUUCCAUUCCCUGCUUCCACUGGAACAGGUACAAGUGGAUUUGUGAUUUCUGCAUUUACCCUUAAGGUGUUCAACCUCACAGAUUUUCAAUCAAUGGAUGCCAGAGGAGCACAGUAGCAUUGUCACUGAUGAAUUUAUUUAAUAUGAAAAGAGGCCAAGAUGAAGAUUCUGGAGAUAAUUAAAUUGGAAUGCUAAGGUUAUUUAACAAUGACAUGCUAGAAUUGGUAGCCAAGCCUUUCACCACCAAUUCUAUCACCCGGUGCCAAAACUCUCCCAUUCCUGUCAGUGAAAGCACAAACCAACACUGUGGAGAUGCAGAGAAAUCUGGAGAAUUGGAGCAUAACAGAGUUAGAGAGUACAUUUUCCCCAGCAAGUGGAGAAUAUUAAGAGACUUGUUAUGAAGAGGCAAAGACAAGAGUCAUCACUGUCUAAAAAAUAUUUCUCUAAAUAACCCAAGCUCAAGUCACAUGCCCAUUAUUUCUUAGGACCACAGAAGAGUGCUGUAAAAAACUCCAUGUAAAGAGUCAUGUCUUGGCCGGGGAUAGUGGCUCGUGCCUGUAAUCCUAGCACUUUGGGAGGCUGAAGUGGGCAGAUCACUUCAGGUCAGGAGUUCAUGAUCAGCCUGGGCAACAGGACAAAGCCCC
rnacentral:lncRNA from 1 species